CGCGGCCUAUCAGCUAGUUGGCGAGGUAACGGCUCACCAAGGCGAUGACGGGUAGCUGGUCUGAGAGGAUGNCCAGCCACAUUGGGACUGAGAUACGGCCCAGACUCCUACGGGAGGCAGCAGUGGGGAAUCUUGCGCAAUGGCCGAAAGGCUGACGCAGCGACGCCGCGUGGAGGAUGACGCCCUUCGGGGUGUAAACUCCUGUUGCCCGGGACGAACCUCCCCUUUCGAGGGGACUGACGGUACCGGGUGAGGAAGCACCGGCUAACUCUGUGCCAGCAGCCGCGGUAAUACAGAGGGUGCGAGCGUUGUCCGGAAUCACUGGGCGUAAAGGGCGCGUAGGCGGUUUUUCAAGCGUGCGGUGAAAGCUCAGGGCUCAACCCUGAGUCGGCCGUGCGAACUGGAAGACUGGAGCACGGUAGAGGCACAUGGAAUUCCGGGUGUAGCGGUGGAAUGCGUAGAGAUCCGGAAGAACACCGGUGGCGAAGGCGGUGUGCUGGGCCGUUGCUGACGCUGAGGCGCGACAGCGUGGGGAGCAAACAGGAUUAGAUACCCUGGUAGUCCACGCCGUAAACGAUGGGCACUAGGUCCUUGGGGGAGCGACCCCUUGAGGGCCGGCGCAAACGCAUUAAGUGCCCCGCCUGGGGAGUACGGCCGCAAGGCUGAAACUCAAAGGAAUUGACGGGGGCCCGCACAAGC
rnacentral:rRNA from 1 species